UCUUUCGCGGGAGGCGACGAGGCGCGGCCUGGACUCCGGCCGCCGAGACCGCGCUGAGCCACUGGCGAGCCCGACCCGCUGGGA
rnacentral:ncRNA from 1 species